rnacentral:rRNA from 1 species
CGCGGCCUAUCAGCUAGUUGGUGAGGUAACGGCCCACCAAGGCGACGACGGGUAGCCGGCCUGAGAGGGUGACCGGCCACACUGGGACUGAGACACGGCCCAGACUCCUACGGGAGGCAGCAGUGGGGAAUAUUGCACAAUGGGCGCAAGCCUGAUGCAGCAACGCCGCGUGAGGGACGACGGCCUUCGGGUUGUAAACCUCUUUUAGUAGGGAAGAAGCGAAAGUGACGGUACCUGCAGAAAAAGCACCGGCUAACUACGUGCCAGCAGCCGCGGUAAUACGUAGGGUGCAAGCGUUAUCCGGAAUUAUUGGGCGUAAAGAGCUCGUAGGCGGUUUGUCGCGUCUGCUGUGAAAACUGGAGGCUCAACCUCCAGCCUGCAGUGGGUACGGGCAAACUAGAGUGCGGUAGGGGAGAUUGGAAUUCCUGGUGUAGCGGUGGAAUGCGCAGAUAUCAGGAGGAACMCCGAUGGCGAAGGCAGAUCUCUGGGCCGUAACUGACGCUGAGGAGCGAAAGCAUGGGGAGCGAACAGGAUUAGAUACCCUGGU